rnacentral:lncRNA from 1 species
AUCCCAACUAGGAUCCCAGGCCCAUUGCCCUAACCAUUAAGCCAACACCAGGCAUAUACUAAGGAAAUACCUGCUCCAUUUAACAUCUUAUUAAUGAGAAUUGAACUUGCUUUGUGCUAUCGUGUUUGUCCUGACAUUCUCUCCUCCAGCUGCGUGAGGUGGCCACAAGGGUGGCAUCACUUGGAGCCUUCGAACAGAGUGGGAGUCGUGCUUUGGCAAGACUAGAGGCAGCUGUGGUGGCUGGCGACACUGAGUCUGUGACCGGUCUAGCCAGGCAACUCUUCAAGCACAGUGACGGCCUUGUGGAGGAAAGUAGAAAAUGAAUUGCUUUUAAAGUGUCAGAUCACAAGGCUCUGGAGGGAUUGCCUGUUGCCUGUAUUUCUGUGAUUAGAAAUUCAUUCAUUAGAUAAUGGUGAAACUCUGCAUGUUCAGUAGUUAGCAUCAGUGUGGUUUUAUUAAAAAAAUAGUUUUGGGUUUUAUCACAAAACAGUUUGUUGUCUGAAAUACCGCAGGUGUGUAAUUUGCUGCUAAAUGCAGCUGAAUCUGUUGCAGAGGAGGUCAGCUGUGCACACGCCCGAGAUCUUUUUGAUACCCUCACGGCACAGCUGGUGUCUGCUUGUCGACUGCGAGCUCAGUAUCCAUCAAGUGGAGAGGUUCUGGAACUGACUACUGCCUGCCACCAAGUCUGGGAGGCCGCUCGUGAGACUUUACCCUGCCUCCUGCAACCUACGCCACCUAUCGACUACGAGAGGGCGGCCGUGUCUGGACUGGUACAAGAUGUUCGUUUGGCUCGCGGCAGGCUUGGAGGAUGAAGGUGACCUGUGGGACACCAGUGGAGCUGCAGAGGAAGCGGUAGCUGAGCGGUCACGGGCUGUGUGCAACCUGGCCUGCGCACUUUGUUUGCAAUCAAGAGGGCAGUCAAAAAGUGAAGCUUUCCCUGAACUGCCUGUUCUUGCAAAGGCAUUUACAAAAGAGUGUCAGAGACUCUGCGAAACACUCACAACUCUAUCGACAAAGCUUGCAGGCCGCAAAGAGUGGACACGUGUCCUUGCUGAUCUGCGACGCGUACCGGGCGAGACCAGUGAGAACGAAUUGGAUGGUACCACGGAAAGCACAGAGGCAAUUCCGUCAUUGCAGGCUGCACGCCAGGCCCUGUCGGCUCUGCUGCCCGCCUUACGCCGGGCACGAACCUUGCAAGACCAGCUGGAGGGUCGCCUGCCAUGCCCCAGCUCUCCCCGGCCUGCGAGGAAAACUCAAGACUCCGUGGACUCGGCGACUGCUCUUCAUCACCACCGUGAACAGAAAGAUCAUCACAUCCGGCUUCAGGCCUCGUGAACUACCUUCAUACCACCGCAAGUUGUACUCCGGUGAUUUGAGGUGUACCAGCAAGGCAUUUUGCAGUAUGGAACACAUUUACUGCAGGGAGAUGCUGUCGUCGGGCAAGAACCACCCAUUCCUGGAAGAAACAAAGUGUGCCGCAGCUCAUUCCCCAGACAUAACGGAGUCUUGACAUGAACGCCAUCAAACACAUCCAGGAACAUGGAUGGACUGUCAUCUUGUGAUAACGAUGUAAGAUUGUGCAAUCAUUGCAUGACUCCCAUUUAUAUGCGUAAUUAUUUUCACAAAUAUAUAUUCAUUCAAAACACCAAGUGUCUUAUUCAUAUGCAAAGGUUGUCAUUGCAUGCGAGUGCGAUUUUUGUCCGGCAUCGGUGCUCAUUUGGCUGCAUGAAGUGGAAUUUUAUAUGUUUGGGAGUUCGGCUCAUGAAGGAUUUCAAUUGUUUCGUUCCAAUGACGACCUUCAUUGAUUGGCCAUGAUCAAUUUGAGGUGCCUGCCUGGUGGCUGCCCAAAGUAGGGCCUACGAUCAGGUUGCUGUGCAUAAUGUUUCGUUCAGCUGUGCAUUUGGUGAGUCCUUGGCGGAACUUUGUUGCUGUGCUUUGUUGAGAACCGAAUACCUUCAAGCAUUGAAUUUGCAAAGAGUAUAAUAUGAUUACUCUCUGAAUAUCAUUUGCUGUGUGCGUGCUGCAAUAAAGUACGAGAUGGAUAUGGUGUACUCAUGUCU